AGAGUUUGAUCCUGGCUCAGAUUGAACGCUGGCGGCAGGCCUAACACAUGCAAGUCGGACGGUAGCACAGAGGAGCUUGCUCCUUGGGUGACGAGUGGCGGACGGGUGAGUAAUGUCUGGGGAUCUGCCCGAUAGAGGGGGAUAACCACUGGAAACGGUGGCUAAUACCGCAUAACGUCGCAAGACCAAAGAGGGGGACCUUCGGGCCUCUCACUAUCGGAUGAACCCAGAUGGGAUUAGCUAGUAGGCGGGGUAAUGGCCCACCUAGGCGACGAUCCCUAGCUGGUCUGAGAGGAUGACCAGCCACACUGGAACUGAGACACGGUCCAGACUCCUACGGGAGGCAGCAGUGGGGAAUAUUGCACAAUGGGCGCAAGCCUGAUGCAGCCAUGCCGCGUGUAUGAAGAAGGCCUUCGGGUUGUAAAGUACUUUCAGCGGGGAGGAAGGCGAUGUGGUUAAUAACCGCGUCGAUUGACGUUACCCGCAGAAGAAGCACCGGCUAACUCCGUGCCAGCAGCCGCGGUAAU
rnacentral:rRNA from 1 species